ACAAUAGGCCGUCAGUGGGACAUCAUAGAGGGUGACAAUCCCGUCCUUGACGCUAAUGUGCAAGUCCGUUACGAUGGCUAUCUCAGAGAGUCGAGCAGUUUGGGAUUUGCUGCUUAAACAUGGGAGGUAGAUUCCUUCUAAAGCUAAAUACAGGCGAGAGACCGAUAGAGAACAAGUACCGCAAGGGAAAGAUGAAAUAGCACUCUGUGAAGGGAGUCAAAAGACGUGAAAUUGUUGCGAGAGAAGCGAUUCAAGUCAGCGUAGCUAGGCCCAUUAAGCCUCUUUGCUUUGGACUAGCUUUGCCAGCGGUCUUGUCCUAGAGACUUGACUUGUAAAUGUCCAGCCUGGUUUGCACAGGUAGCCCCCUCUGGGGGUCAGUGGCAUGGCUGGUGGAAUGGCUUGCAAUCGACCCGUCUUGAAACACGGACCAAGGAGUCUAACAUGUAUGCGAGUAUAAGGGUGGCAAACCCGUAUGCGCAAUGAAAGUGAUUUUCGGUGAUUGAGAAUGGCCUGAUGACCAGACAAGCAAUACAUGUCCCUCGUACGGCCAUUGCCCAAGUUCCGUGGUAGAUCCCAUGAACAUGGAGUUGGAGCAUACAUGCUAGGACCCGAAAGAUGGUGAACUAUGCCUGGACAAAGCGAAGCCAAAGGAAACUCUGGUGGAGGCUUGUAGCGAUUCUGACGUGCAAAUCGAUCGUCUGAUCUGGGUAUA
rnacentral:rRNA from 1 species